rnacentral:tRNA from 1 species
GGGCGAGUGGCGGAAUGGCAGACGCGCUGGCUUCAGGUGCCAGUGUUCGUAAGAACGUGGGGGUUCAAGUCCCCCCUCGCCCA